rnacentral:rRNA from 1 species
AGUGAACGCUGGCGGCAGGCCUAACACAUGCAAGUCGAACGGCAGCACAGCAGUAGCAAUACUGUGGGUGGCGAGUGGCGGACGGGUGAGGAAUACAUCGGAAUCUGCCUAGUCGUGGGGGAUAACGUAGGGAAACUUACGCUAAUACCGCAUACGACCUACGGGUGAAAGCGGGGGAUCGCAAGACCUCGCGCGAUUAGAUGAGCCGAUGUCCGAUUAGCUAGUUGGCGGGGUAAUGGCCCACCAAGGCGACGAUCGGUAGCUGGUCUGAGAGGAUGAUCAGCCACACUGGAACUGAGACACGGUCCAGACUCCUACGGGAGGCAGCAGUGGGGAAUAUUGGACAAUGGGCGCAAGCCUGAUCCAGCCAUGCCGCGUGGGUGAAGAAGGCCUUC